AGAGAUGCAGGGAACCACCACGUUGUACGGCAACCAACGUGCCGCCCCUCUGUGGGCGGGGAUUCACACUAGCUGUCUGUGUCAAGGCCACGCAGAAAUCUAUUGGAAAUCGCUGUGGAAACAAACGCAAAUGAAAAGCCGCAAAGAGCAAAGACGAAGGAAACUAAGAGAAUUACCAGUUGACCUACCUUUAAAGAAUGACUAAGGAUAUUCUUCAAAGGAAAUGAUAGCAGCAGGCAUAGAACUUUAGAAAGAAAGAAAGAACAACGGAAUGAGAAAAAAUAGGGCUGUACUGCCUCUUUUGAUCAAUUUGCCCCAUUCAUGGUUAUGCAUGCUGAUGGAGACUGCUUUUGAAGCUUCUUUAUUGAAGGAGCGGGAGAAGAGUAAGAAAGUUGGAGCAGACUAAGAAGACAGGAAAGAAAGAAAAGCAAAAGUAAGAUAGAGGCUCUGAACUAGUUACUGGACCUCUACCCGUGAACAAGGCAGACCCUGCCUUCUUGGAACUUGUGCUCUGGCAGAACGGACAAGCAUGAAACAAGUAAUUGCAACAUGAUUUACUGUG
rnacentral:lncRNA from 10 species